rnacentral:tRNA from 1 species
GUUAACCUAGUUUAAUAAAAAAUAUUAACUUGUCGAGUUGAAGAAACAAUAAAUUUGUGGUUAAUUU